GUGAACGCUGGCGGUAGGCCUAACACAUGCCAGUCGAACGGCAGCACAGUAAGAGCUUGCUCUUACGGGUGGCGAGUGGCGGACGGGUGAGGAAUACAUCGGAAUCUACUUUUUCGUGGGGGAUAACGUAGGGAAACUUACGCUAAUGCCGCAUACGACCUACGGGUGAAAGCAGGGGAUCUUCGGACCUUGCGCGAUUGAAUGAGCCGAUGUCGGAUUAGCUAGUUGGCGGGGUAAGGGCCCACCAAGGCGACGAUCCGUAGCUGGUCUGAGAGGAUGAUCAGCCACACUGGAACUGAGACACGGUCCAGACUCCUACGGGAGGCAGCAGUGGGGAAUAUUGGACAAUGGGCGCAAGCCUGAUCCAGCCAUACCGCGUGGGUGAAGAAGGCCUUCGGGUUGUAAAGCCCUUUUGUUGGGAAAGAAAAGCAGCAGGUUAAUACCCCGCUGUUCUGACGGUACCCAAAGAAUAAGCACCGGCUAACUUCGUG
rnacentral:rRNA from 1 species